CCAAUAGCGUAUAUUAAAGUUGUUGCAGUUAAAAAGCUCGUAGUUGAAUUUUAGGCUUGGCCGGGCGGUCCGUCAUUGGCGAGUACUGUUCUGUGUCGGGUCUUUCUUUCUGGUUAACCGGUGUGCUCUUUAUUGAGCGUGCCGUGGGAGCCAGGACCAUUACCUUGAAAAAAUUAGAGUGUUUAAAGCGGGCAUUUGCUUGAAUAGAUUAGCAUGGAAUAAUAAAAUAGGACGUUGGUUCUAUUUUGUUGGUCUAGGACCACCGUAAUGAUUAAUAGGGAUAGUUGGGGGCAUUAGUAUUCAAUUGGCAGAGGUGAAAUUCUUGGAUUUAUUGAAGACUAACUAUUGCGAAAGCAUUUGCCAAGGAUGUUUUCAUUAAUCAAGAACGAAAGUUAGGGGAUCGAAGACGAUCAGAUACCGUCGUAGUCUUAACCAUAAACUAUGCCGACUAGGAAUCGGGCGUCGUUAUUUUCACGACUCGCUCGGCGCCUUAUG
rnacentral:rRNA from 1 species